CAACCGCGGCCCCAGGGACCAGCGCGCACGCCGGGGGCCGCGCUCUGGCGGUCACCCCGCGACCGCGGACAACUGAAUAAACACGCCAGAGGGCUGCGAUCUGUCAAGGGCUGGGUCUACCA
rnacentral:lncRNA from 1 species